rnacentral:rRNA from 1 species
UACGGAGGGUGCGAGCGUUGUCCGGAAUCACUGGGCGUAAAGGGCGCGUAGGCGGCCGUGUAAGUCACCUGUGAAAUCCCGGGGCUCAACUCCGGGGCUGCAGGUGAGACUGCGUGGCUAGAGCACGGUAGAGGCGAGUGGAAUUCCCGGUGUAGCGGUGGAAUGCGUAGAUAUCGGGAAGAACACCGGUGGCGAAGGCGGCCAGCUGGCGCUGACCUGACGCUGAGGCGCGAAGGCGUGGGGAGCGAACGGG